CUUGAUGGCGAGGAUGUUAGACUAGCAGAUUACUUUGAUAUAAUUGCAGGAACGAGCACGGGAGGUCUAGUAACUGCCAUGUUAACCGCUCCUAACAAAAAUAACCGUCCAUUGUUUGCAGCUAAAGAUAUCAAACCCUUUUAUCUCGAGCACUCAUCUAGAAUUUUUCCUCAAAAGAAUGGCUUACUGGGAUUGGUCGGAAAACAAUUGGAAUCUGUAGUCGGACCAAAGUACAACGGAGAGUACCUUCACAAAGUUAUUAGGGAAAAACUAGGCAAGACUCGAUUGGAUGAGACAUUAACUAAUGUUGUCAUUCCAACAUUUAACAUCGAAAAUUUGCAACCUAUUGUUUUCUCCACAUAUCAGGUCUACCAUUCUUUUCAUCA